rnacentral:rRNA from 1 species
UAGUUGUUUAUUAUUAAUUGAAUUUGUUUAUAGUUUAAUUAGAUAAAAAAUUAAUUAAUUUUGUUGCUUAGUAUUUUUUAGAAGUUUAGUUUGAAAUUAUAGUUAAUAAGUACAGUAAUGGAAAUAUUAUUAAAUUAAUUAAAAGUAGUAUUAAAUUUUCGUACCUUUUGUAUCAGGGGUAAACUAAGUUGACAUGUUAAUUAUGGAGUCCCGAAACAAGGUGAGCUAAAUUUUGUUGCUUUUUUACGUGGUAAAGUGAUUUGUAACGAAUCUUUAGUGGUGAUAUGUUAGGCGAUCUUUGUAUAUCUGGUUUUUCGUUAAAUGAAUUUAAUUUUGCAUUAAGUUAAAAUUAACUUGAUAGUUAUGGUAGGAGGAAUGAGCUUCUUAUUAUUUUUUUUGUAAAGUGUUUUAUUAGAUAUCAUUUGAAGUGGGCUUAAAAUCAGCCAUCUUAGUAUAACGUUAAAGUAAUAUUGAAUUUUUUUUAUAUUUAUAAAAUACUUGCUUUUAUUAGCGAAAAAUGUUAUUUAUUGUUUAUACAACAGUUAAAAUGUUUAUAUAAGUAGAAUUUUAAGUUGUUAUUAAUUUUGAAUUAUUAUUUAUUUUUUAAAAAUUUAUGGAGAGAAGUUAAAAAGGAACUCGGCAAAUUUUAUCCCCGCCUGUUUAUCAAAAACAUGUCUGUGUGAAUUAAUUAUAAAGUCUAGCCUGCCCACUGAUUUAUUUAAAGGGCCGCGGUAAUUUGACCGUGCGAAGGUAGCAUAAUCAGUAGUCUUUUAAUUGGAGGCUUGAAUGAAUGGUUGGACGAGGGAUAAACUGUCUCUUUUACGGUGUUUGAAUUUAACUUUUGAGUGAAAAGGCUCAAAUUGUUUAAUGGGACGAUAAGACCCUAUAAAACUUAAUAUAAUCUAGUUAAUACUUGCGAUUUAGGUAAAAAGGAGUUUUGUUUAGAUUAUAUUUCGUUGGGGAGAUGAAGAUAUAAUGUAUAACUGUCUAUUGAAUAAUAUAAUGCUAAUUAGAGUUUGAUCCUUCUUUGUGGAUUAAAAGAAUAAGUUACUUUAGGGAUAACAGCGUAAUUUUCUUUGAGAGUUCUUAUCGACAAGAGUAGUUGCGACCUCGAUGUUGAAUUAAAAUUUCAGCUAAGUGUAGCCGUUUAGCUAGUAGGUCUGUUCGACCUUUAAAAUUUUACAUGAUUUGAGUUCAAACCGGUGUGAGCCAGGUUGGUUUCUAUCUUUUAUUGGUUUAAAAAUGGCUUUAGUACGAAAGGAUUGAGCUUUUAAGAUAGUCUUUGAACAAGAUACACUUUAAUGG